rnacentral:lncRNA from 1 species
GUUUCAAGGCUGGAGAAGAAUGCUUUAUGGCUUGAUGCUCUGCUCUCCUGCCUUACCGCUCCACCCUCUGGGCCUGUAGCUCUGCCUUCUGCUUCUGCUUUCCUCUCUACCUCUGCCCUUGGAGUUGUUCUUUCUUUUCCUGAAGAGUAGCAAAUGUUUGAAGACAACAAGAGUUCAGCAGAGAGAGGAGAGAACAAGUUCCACAACUGAGCCAGCUUUUGGCUUGCUAUUGGGCUCUCAUAGAGACUGAAGGCUUGACCAUGAACCACCAAAUGAGCAUGUCAUCUAAACUUCCACUGUGACCUUGGUCUUGUUGUCUGACUUACCAAGUCCAACAUUGUCAUGCACAGUAAUACCACACCAUCAAAUAGAAGUGAAAUGUGUGAAACUGGACUCCAGCAAUCCCUGAAGGUACAAGUAAUUCGCACGAGAAAGUGGCCCAAAUGCCUGUGGUCUUGUGGUUGUCCCCUGCGAUGAACUGAUGAGGAAGAGAAAACUCAGGCCCAGUUUACAGAUGGAUCUGCAUGAUAAACAGGCACCAUCUGGAAGUUGACAGCUGUACUACUUUCUGGGUACUUUCUUGCUUUUAUUCCCCUGAAGGCCCACGGUGUAAAGAAAUCCUCCUAGGCGGUAGAAUAUCAAGCUGGGCACUUGGUUAUUCAUUUCAUCUGGAAGGAAAAAUGGCCAGAGCCUCUUACAUAGAUGGUGAGGAAGACAACCUAAUCCAGUGGUUGAAUCUCAAGUGGAUAGAACAAGAAGCUGAUGUCAAGAAAAGAAAUGUUGGGGAUGCCUGUGUGGCUCAGUGGGUUAAGCCUCUGCCUUCAGCUCAGGUCAUGAUCCCAGGGUCCUGGGAUCGAGCCCCGUAUUGGGCUCUCUGCUCAGUGGGGAGCCUGCUUUUCCCCUCUCUCUGCCUGCCUCUCUGCCUACUUGUGAUCUCUGUCUGUCAAAUAAAUAAAUAAAAUCUUUAAAAAAAGAAAAAGAAAAGAAAUGUUGUAGCACAAAGUUAAAAUCCUUUGUUCCUUCCUUAGGUUGAAAAAGCCAACCAUAACAGCAUAGGUGGGGUAGCAGUUCAUUGGGCAAUAACUGAGGACUGAAAGUGGAUCAGUGUAAGGAAAC